GGCCCAAUGGUCUAGUAGUAUGAUUCGCGCUUCGGGUAUAUACCCGCCAUUCUUUGGCAUGCUUGCGCGAGGUCCCGGGUUCAAUUCCCGGUUGGGCCC